UAUGAUUCAUUAUUGCUUUGCUGUCCAUGGCCAUGCAGAGAAAUGCCGGAGCAUCCUUCCCUGCCUGCUAGUUACACCCAAUCUGCACGGAUGUAAAAGAGUAGUUGAUGAAGUGCGGGAGCAUCCAUCCUGUGGCUUACAUAAACAGUAAGGAAUGGGUUCAGCUCAGUGUGGCGAAGGGAGAAGCUCAAAGAAAACAGAAAAUAGGGCGCUUGAUGAUUCCAGAAGUGACCCGGUGUGCUCCGCAAGAAAAUUAAUCCUACAACGGGACCAUCUCUUUCUGGAUUCUCCACCCCUUUACUCAGCAAGGUCCAGAUCCUUGGCCUCAGCCCAGGAGCCAUGAACUGCUCUGGCUCCACAAAACACCUAGAAGAUUGCUCCAAACAAGUGGCUGGAAACCUCUUGGCAUGGCCCAGGUGCUACACUGUCUUCUCCUUGGCAUAGAUGGCAGGAGAGCAGCCAUCAUAAAUAUUCUCAGCACGGACUUUGUAAAGCCUCAGGAUGAGAAGACAUAAAGAGAGUGUCUUGAGGCCUAUCAGUGUCUCAUGCAAGUGACAAAGAUAAAUCAACAACAGAAUCAGAUCAACUGAAAUAAUUGUCAAGCUCCUGCUUCAGAAACAAUCUCCAUCGUGCUUUCCACUGCAAAACAGCCCGCUGGUGGCACAUGUAUAUUCUUUCCCAUUUUUUUCAAAUUUUCAACAAUAUUCCUGAUUCCAACUAAAACUCCAUUAGUCUUCAAAAACUAUUUCUGACUUGUGUGUUAUGACACAAUUUCCUGCUUAUGAGACAAUAAGAGAGACAAUGUGUCAAAGAUCACCAGGAUUGUUUACAAGUGCGUCUGGGAAGAAGAGGAAGACAGAUCAAAAGUGAGACCUUUUUACGUCUAGACAUUUCUGCAUGAAUAAACAUCAUUAUGGUGAAAUGCACAUCUGCAUGAGGGGUAAAUGCUAUAUGAUUCUAUUCACACAGGGUAAAGUUCAUCUCCGUGUCUGAACUUGUCCAAAGGUCUUUGCAUAACUUGAACCUCUCUAAAUGCUAACAAGUACAACAAGCUUGUUGGGCAGAUCUUAGCAUGAAGACAGAGCCUGGAAAACUUGAAACUAUUAAGAAUAUAAAUAAGAAUAAAAGAGGGAAAUGAGGGCAAAGCUUUCCAGUAAAAGAACAGGAAUCAUAACAAAAUUAAAAUACUGGUUUCAGUAGUAUUUUGUUGUUAUAUUUACUUGCCCUUAUGUUACACCCUCCCAUUUGUGCCAAAGCAGUAAAGCUGGGAAAAUAUCUACAUUUUGAGUACAAUGGAAGUUUUUCACUCACGUGGUAAAGUAAGGUCUUUCAUCGUUGAUGUUAAUUAUAUUUAUAUUCACUGUUUUUGUCGAGUUGAGUCCAUCUGGAUCUGUCACUGUUAUAUUUAAAAAGUAGCUGUAAAAUAAGAAAACAAAACAAGAAUCAUUCUGUGGCUAUGUAGGAAAAUAUUUCUCUCCUUACUGUAAGCAAAUAGACCACGUGAAUAAAAUACAUUCUCACCAGUGUG